rnacentral:rRNA from 1 species
UACAGAGGUCUCAAGCGUUGUUCGGAUUCAUUGGGCGUAAAGGGUGUGUAGGUGGCGCGCUAAGUCGGGUGUGAAAUUUCGGAGCUUAACUCCGAAACUGCAUUCGAUACUGGCGUGCUUGAGGACUGGAGAGGAGACUGGAAUUCGAUGGUGUAGCAGUGAAAUGCGUAGAGAUCAUGAGGAAGACCAGUGGCGAAGGCGGGUCGUCUGGACAGUGACUGACGUGAGACGCGAAAGCGUGGGGAGCAAACAGG